CCUACGGGAGGCAGCAGUGGGGAAUUUUGGACAAUGGGCGCAAGCCUGAUCCAGCAAUGCCGCGUGCAGGAUGAAGGCCUUCGGGUUGUAAACUGCUUUUGUACGGAACGAAACGGUCUGCUCUAAUACAGUGGGCUAAUGACGGUACCGUAAGAAUAAGCACCGGCUAACUACGUGCCAGCAGCCGCGGUAAUACGUAGGGUGCGAGCGUUAAUCGGAAUUACUGGGCGUAAAGCGUGCGCAGGCGGUUAUAUAAGACAGAUGUGAAAUCCCCGGGCUCAACCUGGGACCUGCAUUUGUGACUGUAUAGCUAGAGUGCGGCAGAGGGGGAUGGAAUUCCGCGUGUAGCAGUGAAAUGCGUAGAUAUGCGGAGGAACACCGAUGGCGAAGGCAAUCCCCUGGGCCUGCACUGACGCUCAUGCACGAAGACGUGGGAGGACGAACAGAGUAGUAUACCGUACGUAGUACGACCGACCCGUAACCGACUGUCACUGGUUGUUGGUUCGUUCUAC
rnacentral:rRNA from 1 species